AGCAUGUGUAACAGGAAGCCAGGCUGCCAGUAGUAACUACCAAUCCUGAGUCAGGAGCCAAGUGGAAGUGAUGAAGAAUUCUGCUUUUCGGUGGUCCUCCAGAGAGUCUGAAGAAAGGAGGAGGAGGAGGAAAGAGGAAGAGGAGGAGGAGAAGAAGAACAAGAGCAAAAACAAGAACAAGAAGAGCAAGAACAAGAACAAGAAAAACAAGAACAAGGAGAAGAACUUAAUUUUCACUUUCACAAAUUGUGAGUUUGACCCACUUACUGUGGCUUUGUGGUUUCAUCAUGUCUAAAAUUUUUGUUUAAAAAAUUCACAAAAUAGACGGUCUAAAUAAUGAA